GACAGAGGAGCCAAGCGUUGUCCGGAUUGACUGGGCGUAAAGCGCACGCAGGCGGCCGUGCACGUGGGGUGUGAAAGCGCUCGGCUUAACUGAGCGAUGCCACCUCAUACGGCAGGGCUCGAGCCCGUGAGAGGUCCACGGAAUUGCCGGUGUAGUGGUGAAAUGCGUAGAGAUCGGCAGGAACACCCAGGGGGAAACCAGUGGACUGGCACGGUGCUGACGCUCAGGUGCGAAAGCGUGGGGAGCGAACGGG
rnacentral:rRNA from 1 species